CCGCAAAGAUUGUGGCUCCGGCCAUGAACAACCUUCUGUGAACCGUCUUGUCCCUGGCGGCGGGGUGGGGGUCAGCCGGCCUGUGCACUAGUGGCAUGGGUCGUCUCCUCACCUGUCAGCUUGGGGGGCUCCUCUCGGGGUGCUCUCCCUCGCCGUGGACAAACCGCCAACCGUGUCCAACAUCAUCUGUCCUUUGUCGUCUCAAAUCGUAUCUGUUAUGUUAACCAGACACAA
rnacentral:misc_RNA from 1 species